UUCGUAGGCGGUGCGGCAAGUCGGGAGUGAAAUCUCUGGGCUCAACUCAGAGGCUGCUUCCGAAACUGCCGUGCUCGAGUGUGGGAGAGGCGCGUGGAAUUGCAGGUGUAGCGGUGAAAUGCGUAGAUAUCUGCAGGAACACCCGUGGCGAAAGCGGCGCGCUGGACCACAACUGACGCUGAGGAACGAAAGCUAGGGGAGCAAACAGGAUUAGAUACCCUGGUAGUCCUAGCCCUAAACGAUCAGGACUUGGGGUGCCGCCCGUUCGGGCGUCGUCCCGGAGCUAACGCGUUAAGUCCUGCACCUGGGGAGUACGGUCGCAAGACUGAA
rnacentral:rRNA from 1 species